GAAACUGCGAAUGGCUCAUUAAAUCAGUUAUCGUUUAUUUGAUAGUACCUUACUACUUGGAUAACCGUGGUAAUUCUAGAGCUAAUACAUGCUGAAAACCCCAACUUCGGAAGGGGUGUAUUUAUUAGAUAAAAAACCAACGCCCUUCGGGGCUUCUUGGUGAUUCAUGAUAACUUAACGGAUCGCAUGGCCUUGCGCCGGCGACGGUUCAUUCAAAUUUCUGCCCUAUCAACUUUCGAUGGUAAGGUAUUGGCUUACCAUGGUUUCAACGGGUAACGGGGAAUUAGGGUUCGAUUCCGGAGAGGGAGCCUGAGAAACGGCUACCACAUCCAAGGAAGGCAGCAGGCGCGCAAAUUACCCAAUCCCGACACGGGGAGGUAGUGACAAUAAAUACUGAUACAGGGCUCUUUUGGGUCUUGUAAUUGGAAUGAGUACAAUUUAAACCUCUUAACGAGGAACAAUUGGAGGGCAAGUCUGGUGCCAGCAGCCGCGGUAAGUCCAGCUCCAAUAGCGUAUAUUAAAGUUGUUGCAGUUAAAAAGCUCGUAAUUGAACCUUGGGUCUGGCUGGCAGGUCCGCCUCACCGCGUGUACUUGUCCGGGCCGGGCCUCCUUCUGGGAAACCUCAUGCCU
rnacentral:rRNA from 1 species